UACGCAAGGCGGGUGCGGGCGAACCAUUGAGCGGGGGCGGGGGAACCCGGCAGCCGGCGGCUGGGAACACCCCUUCGCCCGGGCGUUGCGGCGGGGGGAGCGGACGUGACAGGACGAGCGGCUGGGCGCAGGCUGCCGGAGCGGAGGGCGAUGGUCGUCCCCCGGGGACAGGAGUGCCAGGCCCCCCAGGAGGUUGAAACAAGAGAAGAUGAGGAACAAAACAUCAAGUUGACUGAAAUUUUGGAACUGUUGGUGGCUGCUGGGUAUUUUCGAGCAAGAAUCAAAGGAUUAUCGCCCUUUGACAAGGUGGUAGGCGGCAUGACGUGGUGUAUCACUACUUGCAACUUUGAUAUUGAUGUUGAUUUAUUGUUUCAGGAAAACUCUACUAUUGGUCAAAAAAUAGCCUUAACUGAAAAAAUUGUGUCAGUAUUACCAAAAAUGAAGUGUCCUCAUCGUUUGGAACCACAUCAGAUCCAGGGACUGGAUUUCAUUCAUAUAUUUCCUGUUGUACAGUGGCUGGUGAAACGUGCAAUAGAAACAAGGGAAGAAAUGGGAGACUAUAUCCGUUCUUACUCUAUAUCACAGUUUCAAAAAACUCAUAGACUACCAGAGGAUGAUGAAUUUAUGCAAAGAAAAGAGAAGGCUAUCAAAACCGUUACUGAUAUCUUUGAGGUUUACAAGCCCCAGAGAAAAUACAAACGUCAGAAGGGAGCUGAAGAACUGCUAGAUGAGGAAUCAAAGGUUCAUGCUACGCUUCUGGAAUAUGGCAGGAGGUAUGGAUUUAGCAGACAAGCAGCAAAAACAGAACAGGCUGAGGAUAAAAAAAUUGCGCUACCUCCAGGGCUUGGAGCAGCAGGGAAAGCUGAGCCUUGUGAUGAAGAUGACCUUCAGGCUGCUGAAGAGCUUCGCAUUAAAACUCUGAUGACUGGAAUGGCUGCAAUGGCAACAGAAGAGGGCAAGUUGACAGCGAGCACAGUUGGCCAGAUCGUUGAACUCCAGUCAGAUGAGAUCAAGCAAAUAGUGUCAGAAUAUGCUGAAAAGCAAUCUGAGCUUUCUGCUGAGGAGCGACCAGAAAGGCUUGGAGCUGCCCAACAACAUAGAAGGAAGGUGGCAUCUCUGAAUAAGCAGAUUUUGCAGAAAACCAAGCUCCUGGAAGAGUUGCAAGCUAAAUGUGCUGAUCUGCAGACAAAAUGUACUGAAGCAAAAAAGGCAUUAAAUGAGGUUAAGAGUUACAGUGAAAAGCUGGACAAGGAAUUGGCAGCCUUAGAAACAAUAGAAUCCCAAGCAGAUUCUAGCGUAUUACACAGUCUGCGAGCACUAGUGGCCAUGAAUGAAAACCUGAAAAGCCAGGAGCAAGAGUUCAAAGCACAUUGUAGGGAAGAAAUGGAGAGACUUCAACAAAAUAUUGAGGCCCUGAAAGCUGAGGGAGUGGAAGAUGGGGAGGAAGAGGAGCCGAAUAAGAUUAUAGAACAGCAGUACAAAACUGAGAAAGAUAAACUUCAAAAGAUCCGACUCUUGUUGGCACGAAGAAACAGAGAAAUAGCCAUUUUACAACGCAAGAUUGAUGAAGUACCCAGCCGAGCUGAGCUAACACAGUAUCAGAAGAGAUUUAUUGAACUUUACAGUCAGGUGUCAGCAACUCACAAAGAAACGAAGCAGUUCUUUACUCUUUAUAAUACACUGGAUGAUAAGAAAGUAUAUUUGGAAAAGGAGGUUAACCUACUGAAUUCUAUUCACGACAACUUUCAUCAAGCAAUGGCAUCUUCUGGUUCUCGUGAGCAGUUUUUACGGCAGAUGGAGCAGAUUGUAGAAGGCAUCAAACAGAAUCGGAUGAAGAUGGAAAAGAAGAAGCAGGAAAACAAAAUGCGAAGAGACCAGUUGAAUGAUGAAUACUUAGAGCUUCUAGAGAAACAGAGGCUUUACUUCAAAACAGUGAAAGAAUUUAAAGAGGAAUGCCGUAAGAAUGAAAUGCUGCUGGCUAAGCUGAAAGCUAGUUCUUCCUGAAGAACUCCAGCUGGUGAAGUUUAUAGAAGAUUGUUCAGCCCAUUGAAUCUCUUUUGUGAGCAUACGCAAGCUACGCGAUAACCCCUCUCCGACACGGCUGCUAAGGAUGUCGGCCCCCAGCUGGUGGCAACACACCGAGCGGCCAGUGCCUGCGAGAGGCCUUGGUGGGCGCUGCGUGGUACCGGUCAGCGACGAGGCCGAGCGUGACGCACUGCAGUGAGAUCGAGAUGCCCGAGGUGUCCAUUGCUGGAGCUGAAAAUGAUGACUUUUAGUCAUUCCGUGCAGUUUUUGUGGUGUUUGCCUGGGGGCACGCGUUGAAUCAGAGUUGCUUAAGCAGCAGCAAGCACAGAACUGGCAGAGAAAGGCAGCGUAAAAGGUCAAACCUCAGCUUCAAAAGAAGCUGCGAUGUCGCCCAGCCCCAUCGGAGCUGUGAUGUUUUGCCCUUAGAGUACCUAAAGCUUCAGGAGGAGAUGGUUGAGGGUGCUGGGACUCCAUGUCAGUUAAAAGCUGCCACGCCAGAACUACUCAGAGAUGCUAUCAGCAUCCCUCCUCAGGGAAGGGGAGGAAGUAUAACCCACCAGCGGAACAAAUAUGGAGAGGAAGAGACUUGGCAGAAUGCCUGCAAAUAAUUAAUUUAUUUAUGUAUAUAUUGUUGGGACAGGAGUGUUUGUUAGAUCUCAGAAAAACAAUUUAAGGCUUUGGAGUUUUUGGAGUCACUUAGAGCUGAUGGCAUCAAUACCUUUCUUACACUAGGAGGAAGCUGAUGCGAGCUGACAAAUGCACUCAGGGCAUGCUUUCAUGACAAUCCCUUCAGGGAAGGUUUAGGUUGGCUGUUGGGAAAAGUCUCUUCUCUGAAAGAGUGGCCAGGCAUUGGAAGAGGCUGCCCAGAGAGGUGGUGGAGUCACCAUCCCUGGAGGUGUUCAAAAAACAUGUAGACGUGGCACUUCAGGGCAUGGUUUAGGAGACAUAGUGGUGUUGGGUUGGCAGUUGGACUUGAUGAUCCUAGAGGUCUUUUCCAAACUUAAUGGUUCUAUGACUUCUAUGAUUCUAAACUGUGGAAUUUACUCAGGCACAACAUUUAUGGCACAAGGACCCCAGGCAGCGCAGUGCAGAUACUCACAUACCACUCGCAGCCAUGUGUUGCUGCCAGCAAACCUGGUGAUUGAAUACGUUUGGUGUUUGUAACACAAACGCAUGCUCAGUUUUAUGGUGGAAUUAAAUAAUAAUGCAUACGGGCCCCCUUCAUGUGGAGGAAAUGGGUGCCGAUCUUGAGCUUACCUGGGUUUCAGAAAACAGGGAGAGCCUGAGCCCUGCGGAGUGAGAGAGUACAACGCAGGUGAAAACUCCACGCUAGAUCCUCCUCCUGUGCAAGCGGGCGCAAGCACAUUCUCAGUAGCUCUGAGUAAUUUUACACUUGGCUUUAAAAUUUCACUUACCCCCAGGGGAC